UCGGGGACAGAGUGACAGGUGGUGCAUGGUUGUCGUCAGCUCGUGUCGUGAGAUGUUGGGUUAAGUCCCGCAACGAGCGCAACCCUUGAUCUUAGUUGCCAGCAUUCAGUUGGGCACUCUAAGGUGACUGCCGGUGACAAACCGGAGGAAGGUGGGGAUGACGUCAAAUCAUCAUGCCCCUUAUGACCUGGGCUACACACGUGCUACAAUGGACAGAACAAAGGGCUGCGAGACCGCAAGGUUUAGCCAAUCCCACAAAUCUGUUCUCAGUUCGGAUCGCAGUCUGCAACUCGACUGCGUGAAGCUGGAAUCGCUAGUAAUCGCGGAUCAGCAUGCCGCGGUGAAUACGUUCCCGGGUCUUGUACACACCG
rnacentral:rRNA from 1 species